ACCACCAUCUACCGCCGCCGGCUUAUUUCUUUUUUUUUCCAUCGCCGCCGCCCCACAAACCACCAUCCCCGCCGCAGAAAUCAACAUCCAUCGCCGCCGAAAUCACACCCUGUCAAAUAUAGGCUCAAGAUCUUCAACUUCCAAUGAUGGGUAUCAUGAUACUUGAAUUGUUGUUUGGAUAAUGCGUCUGAAGAAGUGAAGAAAGCAGACCGACUUUUGGAGUAUGAGCGUUAAAUUGAAGCAGGUGAUUUUGAAGGUGGUGAUAAUUGUGAGGUGAGGUCGCAAGUGUUUGAGUAUUUGAAAGAUGUAUGAAAAAAUGCAUAGCAGCUUCAUGAAUUGUAUUAUCAGAGACGUAGAUUAGUGUUUUUAAUCAUAUUUGACGAAUUUAAUAUGCAUAGAGUUUGUCCAAUUACUGCGGAUGCUUUGCUGAUAUUUAGGAAUGCUUUAGUUGAAUUUCAA